ensembl:lncRNA
UUUGAAGAAAAUAUAAUCUGAUCAAACAUUAUUCAGCUUUAAAUAUUGUUCAGCUUUAAAGUUACUGUGCAACUGUGUAAUAAAAAUAUGCGCUCACGACUUUGGCCUUGAGAGCGAUAAGAAGCGAUCGCCUCAUUCUGCAGGUGCAAGAUAUCUGCAAGCGAAGAGACUAGAACACCCAAGGCCGCUUUCCUUUUAUGGAGUUGUUUUUCUGCUAAUGCAGCACUUUCAUCACAACCCCCUCCUGUAAGUUUUAGAGAAUAUAUACCCAUCCUCACAGCAAAUAUGAGGAAUCUCCUGAUGUGAGCUGUGUUGAGAGGUUGUCUCUGUCUCAAUAAAAGUUCACUGAUUCCCCCAUCUGCAGCAGGUGUCCGGUUGUCUUCAUUCUCCGCCAGCCUGGAUCCGCUCCAGGCCAAACUGGAACGGGUGGGAGGACAUCGGCCGUGGUCUGAGUGAACGGAGUUUGGACAAAAGCUGUGUGCACACAAAAACAAGGUUGUUGCUCUUUAACUCCUAGAACACGCCCUUGGCGAGGUGGGGGGAACUGGACCACCUUUCUGUGCCCCAUCAUCCUCUAUUAGACGACAUCCAAGCUAAGUAAACAUGUCUUGGCCCUUUCCCCCUGAAAUGACAGGCAGGCAAAGAUGUUGCGUCUUUGUUUGCUUCCUGGCCCUGGGUCUCAUUCCCAUUGGCAUAAUCCUGAUCUGUGAAGGGCCCCCGACACUUCUGACACCUUCAAGUUCAAAAGCUUCGCCCCCUUCUGACAGUCCCAAUCUGACAAAUGUAGCCCCUAGGGUCUUGCCCACCACUUCCUCUCCAGUUUUGCCCACGCCCGAUCCAUUUAGAAAGAAACGAGACACGGUUACCUCCUCGCCAACGGAUGAUGAAAACUCUGAUCGUGAGGGCGACGAACAUUAUCGUCUUUCUCUUGUUUAAAUGCUUCUAGAAUGGUUGUUUCUCUGUGGUGUUUUGUAUUAGGCUUGUUAUUAAUUGUUUCCCUCACCCACUUCCUCUUGAAGGAUAUAUCUGGUUGAACUGUGUCUGGUCGGGUUGUGAGGGUUAAGCGAUGUUCUCAGGGUCUCCGGACUUAAGCCUGAGCGAAUGUGUACUCCCACCAAUGGAUGUGAAUUGUUUUAUUCCACACCCCUUCCUCACGUUUUACCAUAUUCACUUUUGAAUGUCCGUAGCAGUUACCGUUCUGAGUUUAUUCUACGGUUGAUUUAUUCUUUCACAUUUUCACGUUUAUAUCUCUCAUUAUUAUAGUAUACUCUGUACUCUCCACAUUUUUAUCAUUACUUAGGUUUUUUGGUUGCUGGGUUACAGGAACUGUUAAUUUUGUGUCACUACCCUGGUUGCACUAACUCGUUGUAUCCGUGUGUGCAGGACAGCUGUUACUGCUUUCAUCGGGAACCGAGACUGCUUGCAGCCGACCCCUGGGCAGGGUGGUGCCUGGACUCUUUUCUCCUCAUCUGCAAUGACAGAUAAAGACAAAUGAUAAGACCCGAGGAGUUUUUCGAGCCAGGCUUCGACACGUCUCUGUGUUCCUUUGAAUGUUACUUAUGUUUGUGUGUUGACCCAUUUAAGAUGGGUCAAAAGGGGGAUUUGAAGAAAAUAUAAUCUGAUCAAACAUUAUUCAGCUUUAAAUAUUGUUCAGCUUUAAAGUUACUGUGCAACUGUGUAAUAAAAAUAUGCGCUCACGACUUUGGCCUUGAGAGCGAUAAGAAGCGAUCGCCUCAUUCUGCAGGUGCAAGAUAUCUGCAAGCGAAGAGACUAGAACACCCAAGGCC